AAGGGCAAGAAGUGGCAAGUUGCGUUCUUGCGAAAGGUGGUGUCUCAGGCAAAUGUCUUUCGCACCGUUCCCUCGCGAACGACACGUUCACCUGAAGCCGGGCAUAUCUGGAGCUCCAAUUGAUCAAUUUCUUGCUUGUUAUGGUAUGUGAGUCGUGAUUGGUUUCUGAAUCUUCCAAGGAUUUCUGGAAAUUGAUCAAUUUCUUGCUUAUUGUGGGUGAUGAGGAACAUGCAUUCAGAGAUGAAGACUGUUCCGGGAAUGGAC